rnacentral:sRNA from 1 species
CCCAGGGCGUUGCCCUGGGCUAUUCUCUUUCGGGCUUUCAGCCCU